UGCGCCUUAAAAAGGGGUAACCAUGAAAAUAAUUGAUAGCCAGAAGAAGAAGAAGAAUGUUGUCAACCAUUAUUAGGGAACAGCUGUUUAUUCCAAUGACUUAAAUGUCAAUAAGGGGGAAUAAUUUAAAAAGAAAAUGGACAAAUUAAACGAGGAAAAUGGCAGCCAGAAUUUCCUGGCAGAAAUUGUAAGAAAAUUCUUUCCUUUUUAUCUCAUCAGCGAAGAAGAUUGGAUGCGUGGCUCCCAGCUCCCAGCGAAGUAAAACACCGGCAUUUUUUGGCGAUAAAUUCCAUAAGUAAAAGGAAUUACAUUUAUUAAUUUGAUGUGUUCAACAAAAUAAAUGAAAAGAAUACAAAAUCCAAACCUUUUUUUUUGCUAAAAAGGCUUAAAUCUUAAAACAAAAUAUAAAUCUUAAAACAAAAUAUAAAAUUUAAAAAGCUAAAAUGUGAACAUUUAAGAACUAAACCUGAAAGUAUUCUUAAUAGUUAUACAAAAACUAAAUAAACAUCUUAAAGUUUGGCAAAAUUUUAAACAAAAUGAAAAUGAAUUAAACUUGAAACAAAACUUAAUAAAUACAAAGAAAAUUAAGAAAAAUCUUAAAAAUUAAGUCCUGGCAGAAUUUUUGGAGUAAAGAGCCACACCAUCGCCCAUCCAAUCCAUCGAGGGAGGCGCAGAUUUUCCGUCACUGCUAUACCAGCGUGACUUGGUAUCUUCCCUAUAGACGUCACUAUAAACUCCGGACAGACAGACGGACGACGAGGCGACAUAAUUAGAUUCCGCGGUUUUCCUGAAAAGAAAAGUACAAUUUUUAAAUAAAAAGGGGUAAACAAAAGAAGUUUAAUUUAAGAUUUACUCGCCUGGUGUUGCAGUGCAGGAUCCCUCGUUGAAUUGAGCUCAUUUCGAGGUUAGGUAUCCACCUUUUUUUCUCGUCGAUUGUUUUUGUGGUGUCGACAUACUGCCUUUUGUUUGUCCUGGCCUGGAAUUGGAAAAUAAAUUAUCAUUUUUUUAAUCUUGAACCGGGAAUGUAGUUAUAAAGCUAAACUUCAUACUAUUACGUACUUACUCUUUGGGAAGAACCUUGUCCAUUAGCUGCCGUCAGUGGUCCUAACUCUUGAUACCCGCCAUCGAACCCUGAAAAGGAAAAAGAAAGAGAAGGAGCCUAGAGUUGGAAUUAAUUUUUUUUAUGGAGUUAAUAAUUACGUUUCCUGCUUUUUUUCAUUGAUUGAUAGUAUAAAUCAAUAUGUAAUGUACAAUAGGUGUAAUAAAAUUGUAUACUUCCAAAUGAA